rnacentral:misc_RNA from 1 species
GUAUUUUGAAUUGUUUAUUCAUAAUAUUUUUCAGACAAAGAGUUAAAAGAUAAAGGUUGAUGUUUGGUCGAUCUCCAAGAAGAAGAUCGACUGACAUUGCACACAAGGUGGAUAUGGAUUUGUUUAAAAAGCGCCAUAAAACGCUCAUUGUGAAUGAUCCUUCCGCAGGUUCACCUACGGAAA